UACGAAGGGGGCUAGCGUUGCUCGGAAUCACUGGGCGUAAAGCGCACGUAGGCGGAUUUUUAAGUCAGGGGUGAAAUCCUGGAGCUCAACUCCAGAACUGCCUUUGAUACUGGGAAUCUCGAGUCCGGGAGAGGUGAGUGGAACUCCGAGUGUAGAGGUGAAAUUCGUAGAUAUUCGGAAGAACACCAGUGGCGAAGGCGGCUCACUGGCCCGGUACUGACGCUGAGGUGCGAAAGCGUGGGUAGCAAACAGG
rnacentral:rRNA from 1 species